rnacentral:rRNA from 1 species
AUUGAACGCUGGCGGUAGGCCUAACACAUGCAAGUCGAACGGUAACACAGUAAGACUUGGUUCUUUGCUGUCGCGAGGGGGACGGGUGAGUGGUAUCCGUCAGACUGUCUGUUUGCGGGGGGUAACUAGUGGAAAAGGUUACUCUUACCGCGUAUCCUAGCUAGGCCUAAAAGGGGGAGCUUUGCGGAUCUUGCGCUAGGGAGUGACCCGAUGUGGGAUUAGCUAGUUGGGGGGGUAACGGCACACCAAGGCGACGAUCCGUAGCUGGUCUGAGAGGAUGACCAGCCACACUGGAACUGAGACACGGUCCAGACUCCUACGGGAGGCAGCAGUGGGGAAUAUUGCACAAUGGGCGCAAGCCUGAUGCAGCCAUGCCGCGUGGAUGAAGAAGGCCUUCGGGUUGUAAAGUACUUUUGUCGGGGAGGAAGGGAGUAAAGUUAAUACCUCGGCUUAUUGACGUUACCCAAAGAAUAAGCACCGGCUAACUUCGUG